rnacentral:rRNA from 1 species
AGAGUUUGAUCCUGGCUCAGGACGAACGCUGGCGGCGUGCUUAACACAUGCAAGUCGAACGAGAAUCACUGGAAGGAGUUUUCGGACAACGGAAGGUGAGGACAGUGGCGGACGGGUGAGUAACGCGUGAGGAACCUGCCUUUCAGAGGGGGACAACAGUUGGAAACGACUGCUAAUACCGCAUGACACAUAGAGAUCGCAUGGUUUUUAUGUCAAAGAUUUAUCGCUGAAAGAUGGCCUCGCGUCUGAUUAGCUAGUUGGUGAGGUAACGGCCCACCAAGGCGACGAUCAGUAGCCGGACUGAGAGGUUGACCGGCCACAUUGGGACUGAGAUACGGCCCAGACUCCUACGGGAGGCAGCAGUGGGGAAUAUUGGGCAAUGGGCGCAAGCCUGACCCAGCAACGCCGCGUGAAGGAAGAAGGCUUUCGGGUUGUAAACUUCUUUUGUCGGGGACGAGUAGAAGACGGUACCUGGCGAAUAAGCCACGGCUAACUACGUGCCAGCAGCCGCGGUAAUACGUAGGUGGCAAGCGUUGUCCGGAUUUACUGGGUGUAAAGGGCGUGUAGCCGGGAAGGCAAGUCAGAUGUGAAAUCCACGGGCUUAACUCGUGAACUGCAUUUGAAACUACUUUUCUUGAGUAUCGGAGAGGCAAUCGGAAUUCCUAGUGUAGCGGUGAAAUGCGUAGAUAUUAGGAGGAACACCAGUGGCGAAGGCGGAUUGCUGGACGACAACUGACGGUGAGGCGCGAAAGCGUGGGGAGCAAACAGGAUUAGAUACCCUGGUAGUCCACGCUGUAAACGAUGAAUACUAGGUGUGCGGGGACUGACCCCCUGCGUGCCGCAGUUAACACAAUAAGUAUUCCACCUGGGGAGUACGAUCGCAAGGUUGAAACUCAAAGGAAUUGACGGGGGCCCGCACAAGCGGUGGAUUAUGUGGUUUAAUUCGACGCAACGCGAAGAACCUUACCAGGGCUUGACAUCCUACUAACGAAGUAGAGAUACAUCAGGUGCCCUUCGGGGAAAGUAGAGACAGGUGGUGCAUGGUUGUCGUCAGCUCGUGUCGUGAGAUGUUGGGUUAAGU